rnacentral:rRNA from 1 species
CCUUGUGAAAGCCCACGGCUCAACCGUGGAAUGGCUCGGUAUACGGUCGGUCUUGAGGCAGGUAGAGGCGCCUGGAACCUUAGGUGGAGCGGUGAAAUGCGUAGAUAUCUAAGGGAACGCCGGUGGCGAAAGCGGGGCGCUGGGCCUGUCCUGACGCUGAGACGCGAAAGCGUAGGGAGCGAACGGGAUUAGAUACCCCGGUAGUCUACGCCGUAAACGAUGCGCACUAGGUAUGAGAACCUCUGACGGUGAUCGUGCCGAAGCAAAAGCGAUUAGUGCGCCGCCUGGGGAGUACGGCCGCAAGGCUAAAACUCAAAGGAAUUGACGGGGGCUCACACAAGCGGUGGAGCAUGUGGAUCAAUUCGAAGCAACGCGAAGAACCUUACCUGGGUUUGACAUGCACGGAUGCUCUCUUGGAAACAGGAGUAGGUUGCCUUCGGGUGAAACGUGCACAGGUGCUGCAUGGCUGUCGUCAGCUCGUGCUGUGAAGUGUCGGGUUAAGUCCCAUAACGAGCGAAACCCUUGUCGUUAGUUGCCAGCGGUUCGGCCGGGGACUCUAACGAGACUGCCGGUGUCAAACCGGAGGAAGGUGGGGACGACGUCAAGUCAUCAUGGCCUUUAUGCCCAGGGUGUCACACGUGCUACAAUGGUGUGGACAGAGCGAAGCGAAGCCGCGAGGCCAAGCAAAUCGCACAAACCACGCCUCAGUUCGGAUUGGGGUCUGCAACUCGACCCCAUG